ACACUUUGUGUACUUUCCCUUGCCCCCAUUUACAAGCGACGCAAGUAUACAAAAGUAAUUUUAACCAUUUCGACACUGGACACUAGAGGGUUUCAUUUGAGUGAUAUUUAGGAGAUGGAAGACAAACUAUUCCAUGUUCUAACUGAUAACUUUUGUUUUUAGCAUAUGAUCAUUAACUAUAAUGUUAUGGAUACAACACGUUCCAAAAAGCUGUUGCAGUUGAGGAAUGCACAUCAAACACAGGUUUGGAACAUCCCACGGGUGAACGGGCUAAAUGGGAACAGGAAAUAAUAGUCAAACUGUGGAAGGAAAACGAUUCUCAAUGUCCAUAGAAUCUGGACAAAUCACCGGACGUCAGCGUCAAGGCUGAAAACCGGCAUUGAGAACCCGUGACCUUCGAUGUCCAAAUGCGGCGCUGCAUCAAAACCUAAACAUUAAUCCCGAAAGUAUUUCACCACAUGGGCUCAGGAACACUUCAGAAAACCAAUGUCAGUAAAUAGUUUGGCGCUGCAUCCCUAAGGUGCAACUUAAAACCCACUUUGCAAAGCAAAAGCCAUUCAUCAACAACACCUAGAAACGCUGCCAGCUUCUCUCGGCACAAGCUCAUCGAAGAUGGACUGAUGCAAAGUGAGAAAUGUGUUCUGUGGUCUGACGAGUCCACAUUUCAAAUUGCAUGUGGAAACUGUGGACGUCAUGUCCAAAGAGCAAAAGAACCAUCCGGACUGUGACGGACGCAAAGUUCAAAAGUCAACAUCUUGAUGGUACAGGGCUGUGUUAGUGCAUCCGUGAGGCCACAUUCAUGCCAGAAGGUGCAUACAGGUUUUGAAGAAACAUGCUGCCGUCCAAGCAA